AGUGGCUCGCUUCACGGCUUCCCUACUGUACCUCAGGCAUUUCACGACUGUGGUGACACCUACGGGGCGUACUUGUGCGAUCCGCCGCGGUAGUACCGGCAGCUCGUGCGGGGCCCUCUAUUACUGCCCUUAACGCCUUAGUAGCUGGGUUGUUACGUCUCCGGCGAAAUCUUCCGGCUUAACCGGAAGGGAUCUCACGCAUACUGGCAGACUACGGACCGGGUACAGGUGACAGGUACUCCGGGGGUACGACUGAAAUCACUGUAAUCCUUGGGGGACCACCUGUGGAGAAAGCUUCUCACCAGAACGGCUCCCACUGUGAGGGACUAAUGCUGGGGGAGCAAACCGGAUUAGAUACCCGGGUAGUCCCAGCUGUAAACGAUGCCCGUUACGUGUAUCGGUGACCACUAUUCACCGAGGUGCCGAAGAUAAAUCGUGAAACGUGCUCGCCUGGUAAGUACGGUCGCAAGGUUGAAACUUAAAGGAAUUGCGCGGGGAGCA
rnacentral:rRNA from 1 species